GAAGUUUACUUACUGAAGACAAGAAGUGGCAAGUGACCGACAGGAAUCUUGGGGCUUGGGGGGAAUCUCUGGGUAGUUGAGAAGAACCAGAGAAGAUGAAAACUCUUGGAGCUACUUAAUUCCCCUUGCCAUUUCUAACAUAGGUGUUCUGCUUCUGUUGCACUGUUCAUUCCUCUUGUAUGUUAGGAAAAUGCAACUCAUUUCAGUAUUUUCCUUUGAUGUAGCUACUUGCACUCUUUUCAGAUGAAGUAAUGGAAGUUUUUAUUCGAAUAGGACUAUUUUCUUUUGGAUUAAGCUAAUUUGGUCAAAUAUGAGCAGUAUAAUAGCAACUG